rnacentral:rRNA from 1 species
UACGUAGGGCGCAAGCGUUGUCCGGAAUUAUUGGGCGUAAAGAGCUCGUAGGCGGCCUGUUACGUCUGCUGUGAAAUCCCGGGGCUUAACCCCGGGCGUGCAGUGGAUACGGGCAGGCUGGAGGCAGGCAGGGGAGAACGGAAUUCCCGGUGUAGCGGUGGAAAUGCGCAGAUAUCGGGGAGGAACACCGGUGGCGAAGGCGGGUAACUGGCCGGACACUGACACUCAGACCCGAAAGCGUGGGGAUCAAACAGG